AAUAAAGGAAACAGAAUAACAAAACACUCUUUUUGCUCUCUACAUUCACAACAUAUCCACUUCCUCUCUUUUUUUUUUUCCCUCUUCCUUUUAUGAUUAUGGCUUCUUUCAAGUGCUUCUUCAUGUUAGCUUUCUUCAUUGCUUUAUCAUUCAUAAGCAUGGAUGUUAGCUUAGCAGCUCGCAAUCUUCUUCAAUUGCCAAAUCUGCCUAAUAUCCCAAAUCUCCCUCAACCCACAUUGCCAAUGCCAACAUUUCCAACAACACAACCAUCGUUACCUAACCCUUCAACAUUGCCACCACUUCCUAGCUUGCCCAACAUGCCUACUAUCCCAAAGCUCACUUUGCCUCCACUGCCAAGCAUGCCUUCAAUCCCCAAUAUCCCAACUACAAUUCCCUCCAUUCCUUUCCUCUCCCCACCACCAGCUGGGAACUAAUUAAUCCUUUCAGGCAUCAACUAGUUCUAUUUCUUUGGACUAAAUAAUUUUUCAUAUCUCUUUUGCUGUAAUGUUGAGUUUCUUGCUUUCAAUUAUAUAUUUAUUUGUAUUUUGUACCUGUGAGCAUUAUUAGCUCCUCGUCUCACUAUUUGUUUGUACUAGACUAUGGAUUUACGUUUUAGUUUCUUUUUCAUCAUGAUCAGUAGUCAUAUUUUUCCUUUUGUUUUUCCUUUAAACUUUUAUUAUGCUGCAGAAUGAAAGUGAAUAUGCUAACUUAAACAUUAUCCGAA
rnacentral:lncRNA from 1 species